rnacentral:rRNA from 1 species
GACAGAGGGUGCAAACGUUGCUCGGAAUUACUGGGCGUAAAGCGCGUGUAGGCUGACCGGAAAGUCGGGCGUGAAAGCCCUGGGCUCAACCCAGGAACUGCACUCGAAACUCCCGGUCUAGAGUGGUGGAGAGGGAAGUGGAAUUCCUGGUGUAGAGGUGAAAUUCGUAGAUAUCAGGAGGAACACCAGUGGCGAAGGCGGCUUCCUGGACACCAACUGACGCUGAGACGCGAAAGCGUGGGGAGCAAACCGG